UACGUAGGUGGCAAGCGUUGUCCGGAUUUAUUGGGUUUAAAGGGUGCGUAGGCGGCCCCGUAAGUCAGUGCUGAAAUAUCCCGGCUUAACCGGGAGGGUGGCAUUGAUACUGCAGGGCUUGAGUAAAGUUGAGGUAGGCGGAAUUGACGGUGUAGCGGUGAAAUGCGCAGAUAUCAGGAAGAACACCCGUGGCGAAGGCGGCUCUCUGGGACGGUACUGACGCUGAGACGCGAAAGCGUGGGGAGCGAACAGG
rnacentral:rRNA from 1 species